AAGACGAAGGAGUUGUCUAGUGUCAGCUUGCAUAAAGAGAAGAGUAUCAUCAGCAUAUGGAAUUAUUAGAAAAUGAUUUGUGUCUCUAUUUGGCAGGGGUAGUCCAAAGGAGGCCAUGGGUGUAGCCUUUGUUGAUGAUACUUUGUGACAAUCUGUAGCUAAGACAAGCAGCAGUGGAGAAACGGGGGUCUCCUUGUCUAACACCUUUUUACAACUGAAUUCCUUACCAGGCACUCCAUUGAGAAGAACUGAAGAAAUACCUGAGCCUAGGAUACUCUUGAUCUAGAUAAUCCAUCUGGUUGGGAAGCCCAUGGCUGUCAUGAUCUGCAAAAUAGCAGCAUGUUCUACUUAUCAAAAGCUUUUUUGAAGUCCAACUUUAGCAAAAUUAUUUCUCUUCUCAAGUAGUGACAUUGAUGGAGAAUUUCAAAAUUCUAUCCAAGGCAGACUUGUAUAGUCCUUCCUUGCAAAAUAAGACAUGUUAAUUUUUGUGAAUAACAUUCAAAAUCUUGAGUACUCAGCAAAGAAAUGGGUCUGAAAUCUCAGUCCCUCACUGGAUUAUUUUUCUUGGGACAUAGUAAUAUAAGAGGAAUUCAACCAAGUGAGAUCAAUGUUAUUGAUAUAGAAAUCAUGGCACAAGAAGUAAAAAUCUAGCUUUAUUGAUUCACAACAAGUCUUGAAAAAAAGCCGAUUAAUGUUAUCAGGGCCAGAGGCUUUAUCAGUAUAAUAGCAUCAAUCUCUUUGGAUGAAAAAGGAAGGCUUGAAUCCUUAGGAGUAGGCAUGAUCAGAUCAUAUAGGUUAAAGACCAUUUGUGGAUUAGAAGUAGCCCAUCCUUUCUUUAAAUUUUUUUUUAGAAAAGGGAAGCCUUCUCUGCAUGGCCAGUCAUAGUUCUACCAUUUAGUCCUAUGAUAUGAGCAAUAGCAUUUCUUCUAAAACUCCCAGUAGCCAUUCAACAAAAAAAUUGUGUUCUCAUCCCUAAACUUGACCAGAUUAUUAGUGGACUAUUGUUUACAAUGGAUCUGUUGAUACUUUAGGAGCUUUCCUAAAUGGUCUUUAAUAAUUAAUCUAAACUUUCCUCUAGCGCAAAAGAUCAUUGCCUUCCUCUAGAUCAUUUUCAGUAAGGAAAGGACUCCAUUGCAAAAUUCUUGAUCAAAAGAGCCAAAUCUAAUAUAUUUUUGUCCCAAGCUUUCACUAAGAUUGUUGCGAAGCUGUUUCAAUUUGACAGAAAUGAGGCGAGAUGGCCCUACACUACGGGAUUCAUUGGCUUUGCCUAGUGCCCAACACACUCAGCAAAGCACAGAAUACACUCAGGAAAGCCUUUGCAGAGUGUAGCACUCGGCAAAGAGCACUCGGCAAAGAAUACAUUGGCAAAGAGCUCUUCGUCGAGUGUAGAUUGUCAAACCCUCGACAAAGAAAAGCACUUGACAAAUAAAAAUCCAAAAAAAAAAAUAGCAAAAAAAUCAGGAAAGGCCCCCAUUAGCCAGUGUCCCGCCAUUUUUGUUAAAGUCGCAAGUCACAGUAUUUUUGUGCAAAUUCGCAAUUACGUGGCUGGUUUGAUUCGAAUCCGUGACCUCUCCCUCACGUCUAACUCACUCUACCACUACACUACAACAUCACAUAUGUCUAGACUUCGUUUUGCUUCCAACAUAUUAUAUUCAACCAAGUGUAAAUUGCUUGUUUAAGACCCUAAACAAAUUCAAAUCAAAAUAUUGUCAACUACAACAUUUAUAGUCUUUUGAGAUCUACAACUUUUAUUUUAAUAGCUUCUACAUCUGAGAUCGUUUACAAAAUUUGAGAAAUUCAAACAUAGUUUUUGUAGACAAGAUGAUUUCAAAUCAAAAGGUUUUCAAAUACAAAGUUUUAUGACUUUUUGAGAUCUAUAACUUUUAUUU
rnacentral:lncRNA from 1 species